AACCUGGUUGAUCCUGCCAGUAGUCAUAUGCUUGUCUCAAAGAUUUAUAGCCAUGCAUGUCUCAGUAUAAGUCUUCACACGGCGAAACUGCGAAUGGCUCAUUAAAACAGUUAUAGUUUAUCUGAUGUUCAACUGUUACAUGGAUAACUGCGGUAAUCCUGGAGCUAAUACAUGCGUUAAGACCCGACUUCUCGGAAGGGUUGUAUUUAUUAGAUACAGAACCAAUACCUUCGGGUUUUUGGAUGAUUCAUAAUAAACGAACGGAGCGCGUCACUCUGUGGCGCUGUAUCACUCAAGUUUCUGACCUAUCAGCUUUCGACGGUAGGGUAUUGGCCUACCGUGGCAUUGACGGGUAACGGAGAAUUAGGGUUCGAUUCCGGAGAGGGAGCCUGAGAAACGGCUACCACAUCCAAGGAAGGCAGCAGGCGCGUAAAUUACCCAAUCCUGACACAGGGAAGGUAAGUGACCAUACAAUUAAACAAUGCGGAGCUCUUCGAGUUUUCUGCAAAUUGGAAUGAGGAACAUUUAAAAUCCCUUAUCGAGGAU
rnacentral:rRNA from 1 species